UACGAAGGGGGCUAGCGUUGCUCGGAAUCACUGGGCGUAAAGGGUGCGUAGGCGGGUCUUUAAGUCAGGGGUGAAAUCCUGGAGCUCAACUCCAGAACUGCCUUUGAUACUGAAGAUCUUGAGUUCGGGAGAGGUGAGUGGAACUGCGAGUGUAGAGGUGAAAUUCGUAGAUAUUCGCAAGAACACCAGUGGCGAAGGCGGCUCACUGGCCCGAUACUGACGCUGAGGCACGAAAGCUAGGGGAGCGAACGGG
rnacentral:rRNA from 1 species